rnacentral:misc_RNA from 1 species
UCCGGCUUAUCACCUGUGUUCCCGCCAGCCGAACUGAAGGAUCCCAUCUCUGAGCCGGUCACGGGAUGUCAAGGGCUGGUAAGGUUCUGCGCGUUGCGUCGAAUUAAACCACAUGCUCCACCGCUUGUGCGGGCCCCCGUCAAUUCCUUUGAGUUUUAAUCUUGCGACCGUACUCCCCAGGCGGAGUGCUUCACGCGUUAGCUGCGGCACCGACACGCAAGCGUGCCGACGCCUAGCACUCAUCGUUUACGGCGUGGACUAC